rnacentral:rRNA from 1 species
UAGGGAAUCUUAGACAAUGGGCGAAAGCCUGAUCUAGCGAUGCCGCGUGAGUGACGAAGGCCCUAGGGUCGUAAAGCUCUUUCGCCGGGGAAGAUAAUGACUGUACCCGGUAAAGAAGUCCCGGCUAACUCCGUGCCAGCAGCCGCGGUAAUACGGAGGGGACUAGCGUUGUUCGGAAUUACUGGGCGUAAAGCGCGCGUAGGCGGAUUAGUCAGUCAGAGGUGAAAUCCCAGGGCUCAACCCUGGAACUGCCUUUGAUACUGCUAGUCUUGAGUUCGAGAGAGGUGAGUGGAAUUCCGAGUGUAGAGGUGAAAUUCGUAGAUAUUCGGAGGAACACCAGUGGCGAAGGCGGCUCACUGGCUCGAUACUGACGCUGAGGUGCGAAAGUGUGGGGAGCAAACAGGAUUAGAUACCCCCGUAGUCC